ensembl:lncRNA
CACAGGUCCGGGCUCUACAGCAUCUUUGGUCCCUGGGUUGUUUCCAUCAGGAGAUCUUGGUGUUGUCCCAUGAAGCUUCUAGUGUGACUUCUUAUGGUGCAGUGGCUUCCGGCCAAGCAAACCUACAGCAGCUUGCAGUGCCUGCUCUGUGCUGAUGGAGAUCCCCAGUUGUUUCCUCCUUAACGUUCCACUCUUGAAUGCUCCUUUCCUAAUCCAUCUUUAUGCUGAUAUAUCUGCAAGGAACAACCCGAGCACCCAGAGAUGCAGCCCAGCCUUCAGCCCUCUGGUGAGGACCACCCAACUGUGUUGGGGCCAUUUCAGAUGUCCCCAUGAAGUUGAACCCUGUCUGCGUCAUGCCCUGCUCAUCCAGAGCUGACUCAGAGCUGACUCAUUGAGUGCUACCAGCACCCUGUGUUUAAUGGUAGUAAGUCUUGGUUAAAUAAGUCUGGGGGCUCAUUUCUUUUCCAUUUUCUUCUAAAGCAGCUGAACAGGGCAGUGUGCAU